UACGGAGGGGGCAAGCGUUGUUCGGAAUUACUGGGCGUAAAGGGCGCGCAGGCGGCUGCUCAAGUCAGGCGUGAAAGGCCUGGGCUCAACCCGGGAAUUGCGCUUGAGACUGGGCUGGCUUGAGUUCGGGAGAGGUGAGUGGAACUGCGAGUGUAGAGGUGAAAUUCGUAGAUAUUCGCAAGAACACCAGUGGCGAAGGCGGCUCACUGGCCCGAUACUGACGCUGAGGUGCGAAAGCGUGGGGAGCAAACAGG
rnacentral:rRNA from 1 species